rnacentral:rRNA from 1 species
GACGAACGCUGGCGGCGUGCUUAACACAUGCAAGUCGAACGGAAAGGCCCUGCUUUUGUGGGGUGCUCGAGUGGCGAACGGGUGAGUAACACGUGAGUAACCUGCCCUUGACUUUGGGAUAACUUCAGGAAACUGGGGCUAAUACCGGAUAGGAGCUCCUGCUGCAUGGUGGGGGUUGGAAAGUUUCGGCGGUUGGGGAUGGACUCGCGGCUUAUCAGCUUGUUGGUGGGGUAGUGACUUACCAAGGCUUUGACGGGUAGCCGGCCUGAGAGGGUGACCGGCCACAUUGGGCCUGAGAUACGGCGCAGUCGCGUAUGGGAGGCAGCAGGGGGGAAUAUUGCACAAUGGGCGGAAGCCUGAUGCAGCAACGCCGCGUGCGGGAAGACGGCCUUCGGGUUGUAAACCGCUUUCGCCUGUGACGAAGCGUGAGUGACGGUAAUGGGUAAAGAAGCACCGGCUAACUACGUG